rnacentral:rRNA from 1 species
UAGUAGUCAUACGCUCGUCUCAAAGAUUAAGCCAUGCAUGUGUAAGUAUAAAUAGUUAACUUUGAAACUGCGAAUGGCUCAUUAUAUCAGUUAUAGUUUAUUUGAUGAAGAAUACUAAUUGGAUAACCGUAGUAAUUCUAGAGCUAAUACAUGUAUAAAGUCUUGUAGACUGCAUUUAUUAGAAUGAAAACCAUAGGUUUCGGCCUAUUCGUGAGUAAUAAUAACUAAUCAUAUCGUAUGCUUAAGUAACGAUGUGUCUUUCAAGUUCCUGCCCUAUCAGCUUUCGAUGGUAGUGUAUUGGACUACCAUGGCAGUAACGGGUAA